GACAGAGGGUGCAAACGUUGUUCGGAAUUACUGGGCGUAAAGCGAGUGUAGGCGGUCUGUAAAGUCGGGUGUGAAAGCCCCGGGCUCAACCCGGGAAGUGCACUCGAAACUCACAGGCUAGAGUAUCGGAGAGGUUGGUGGAAUUCUCGGUGUAGAGGUGAAAUUCGUAGAUAUCGAGAGGAACACCGGUGGCGAAGGCGACGCCUGGACCGGCAUUGACGCUGAGGCGCGAAAGCCAGGGGAGCAAACGGG
rnacentral:rRNA from 1 species